UUGCUCUCUUGGGAUCGAUGGACACCUCGAUCGGCAGCGUGGACGGGGUGGCGAAGCCCAUCUGCAAUGACGUUGGCUCUCUCCCCGCCAUCGCCUGCCACCCCAUCAGCCCCGCCGCUGCUUCCAUCUGCGAAGCCGGGGCCACCCUCGGCCGCCACCUCGCCCGCCGCCUCGUCCAGGUUGGUGCCAACGACGUAUUCUCCGUCCCCGGCGACUUCAACCUCACCCUCCUCGACCAUCUCAUCGCCGAGCCCGGCCUCAACAUCAUCGGAUGCUGCAACGAGCUCAACGCCGGAUACGCAGCCGAUGGAUACGCCCGCUCCCGCGGCGUCGGCGCCUGCGUCGUCACCUUCUCCGUCGGCGGCCUCAGCGUGCUUAACGCCAUCGCCGGCGCUUAUAGCGAGAACCUCCCUGUUAUUUGCAUCGUCGGCGGUCCCAACUCGAACGACUACGGUACCAACCGCAUCCUCCACCACACCAUCGGCCUCCCUGACUUCUCCCAGGAGCUCCGCUGUUUCCAGACCGUCACCUGCU
rnacentral:lncRNA from 1 species